rnacentral:rRNA from 1 species
GAUGAACACUAGCUACAGGCUUGACACAUGCAAGUCGAGGGGUAGCACAGAAGAAGCUUGCUUCUUCGGGUGACGACCGGCGCGCGGGGGAGUAACGCGUAUCCGACCUACCCAUAACUCGGGCACAGCCGCUCGAAAGAGUGAUUGAUUCCCGAUAUGUCCUUGGAGUAGAUUCAAUGAUGAAAGAUUCAUCGGUUAUGGAUGGGGAUGCGUAAGAUUAGGUAGUAGGCGGGGUAACGGCCCACCUAGCCGACGAUCUUUAGGGGUUCUGAGAGGAAGGUCCCCGACACUGGAACUGAGACACGGACCAGACUCCUACGGGAGGCAGCAGUGAGGAAUAUUGGUCAAUGGGCGGAAGCCUGAACCAGCCAAGUAGCGUGAAGGAUUACAGCACUACGGGUUUUAAACUUCUUUUAUAUAAGAGUAAUGUGCACUACGUGUAGUGUAUUGCAAGUAUUAUAUGAAUAAGCAUCGGCUAACUCCGUGCCAGCAGCCGCCGUAACAC